rnacentral:rRNA from 1 species
AAUCAACGCUGGCGGCGUGCCUAACACAUGCAAGUCGAACGCGAAAGUUCCUUCGGGGAUGAGUAGAGUGGCGUCCGGGUGAGUAACGCGUGGGUAAUCUACCUUCGGGUGGGGAAUAACCAGUCGAAAGGCUGGCUAAUACCGCAUAAUGCAGCGGCACGACAUCGUGACAGUUGUUAAAGGAGCAAUCCGCCUGAAGAGGAGCCUGCGUCUGAUUAGCUAGUUGGUAAGGUAAUGGCUUACCAAGGCUACGAUCUGUAUCCGGUCUAAGAGGACGGUCGGACACACUGACACUGAAUAACGGGUCAGACUCCUACGGGAGGCAGCAGUCGGGAAUUUUGGGCAAUGGGCGAAAGCCUGACCCAGCAACGCCGCGUGAAGGAUGAAGUAUUUCGGUAUGUAAACUUCGAAAGAAUAGGAAGAAUAAAUGACGGUACUAUUUAUAAGCUCCGGCUAACUACGUG